rnacentral:rRNA from 1 species
GGGAAAGGUGAAAAGCACCCCGGAAGGGGAGUGAAACAGUUCCUGAAACCGUGUGCCUACAAGUAGUUAGAGCCCGUUAAUGGGUGAUAGCGUGCCUUUUGUAGAAUGAACCGGCGAGUUACGAUUUGUUGCAAGGUUAAGCGGAAAAAGCGGAGCCGUAGCGAAAGCGAGUCUGAAUAGGGCGCAUAAGUAACAGGUCGUAGACCCGAAACCAGGUGAUCUACCCAUGUCCAGGAUGAAGGUAAGGUAAUACUUACUGGAGGUCCGAACCCACGCACGUUGAAAAGUGCGGGGAUGAGGUGUGGGUAGCGGAGAAAUUCCAAUCGAACUUGGAGAUAGCUGGUUCUCUCCGAAAUAGCUUUAGGGCUAGCCUCGAGGUAAAGAGUCAUGGAGGUAGAGCACUGUUUGGACUAGGGGCCCUUCUCGGGUUACCGAAUUCAGAUAAACUCCGAAUGCCAUGUACUUAUACUCGGGAGUCAGACUGCGAGUGAUAAGAUCCGUAGUCGAAAGGGAAACAGCCCAGACCACCAGUUAAGGUCCCCAAAUAUAUGUUAAGUGGAAAAGGAUGUGGGGUUGCUUAGACAACCAGGAUGUUGGCUUAGAAGCAGCCACCAUUGAAAGAGUGCGUAAUAGCUCACUGGUCGAGUGACCCCGCGCCGAAAAUGUACCGGGGCUAAACAUAUUACCGAAACUGUGGAUGAACCUCUUUAGAGGUUCGUGGUAGGAGAGCGUUCUAAGGGCGGUGAAGUCAGACCGGAAGGACUGGUGGAGCGCUUAGAAGUGAGAAUGCCGGUAUGAGUAGCGAAAGAAGGGUGAGAAUCCCUUCCACCGAAUAUCUAAGGUUUCCUGAGGAAGGCUCGUCCGCUCAGGGUUAGUCGGGACCUAAGCCGAGGCCGAUAGGCGUAGGCGAUGGACAACAGGUAGAGAUUCCUGUACCAGUGCUAAUUGUUUAACCGAUGGGGUGACACAGAAGGAUAGGGAAUCGCACGAAUGGAAAUGUGCGUCCAAGCAGUGAGUGUGAGAAGUAGGCAAAUCCGCUUCUCGCGAAGCAUGAGCUGUGAUGGGGAAGGAAAUUAAGUACGGAAGUUCCUGAUUUCACGCUGUCAAGAAAAGCCUCUAGGAAGAGUAGUACUGCCCGUACCGCAAACCGACACAGGUAGAUGAGGAGAGAAUCCUAAGGUGAGCGAGAGAACUCUCGUUAAGGAACUCGGCAAAAUGACCCCGUAACUUCGGGAGAAGGGGUGCUCUAUUAGGGUGCAAGCCCGAGAGAGCCGCAGUGAAUAGGCCCAGGCGACUGUUUAGCAAAAACACAGGUCUCUGCAAAACCGUAAGGUGACGUAUAGGGGCUGACGCCUGCCCGGUGCUGGAAGGUUAAGAGGAGUGCUUAGCUUCGGCGAAGGUACGAAUUGAAGCCCCAGUAAACGGCGGCCGUAACUAUAACGGUCCUAAGGUAGCGAAAUUCCUUGUCGGGUAAGUUCCGACCCGCACGAAAGGCGCAACGAUCUGGGCACUGUCUCAACGAGAGACUCGGUGAAAUUAUAGUACCUGUGAAGAUGCAGGUUACCCGCGACAGGACGGAAAGACCCCGUGGAGCUUUACUGCAACCUGAUAUGGAAUGUUUGUACCGCUUGUACAGGAUAGGUAGGAGCCGAAGAGACGUGUGCGCUAGCAUACGAGGAGGCAAUGGUGGGAUACUACCCUGGCUGUAUGACCAUUCUAACCCGCCACGCUUAGCGCGUGGGGAGACAGUGUCAGGUGGGCAGUUUGACUGGGGCGGUCGCCUCCUAAAGAGUAACGGAGGCGCCCAAAGGUUCCCUCAGAAUGGAUGGAAAUCAUUCGCAGAGUGUAAAGGCACAAGGGAGCUUGACUGCGAGACUGACAAGUCGAGCAGGGACGAAAGUCGGGCUUAGUGAUCCGGUGGUUCCGCAUGGAAGGGCCAUCGCUCAACGGAUAAAAGCUACCCCGGGGAUAACAGGCUUAUCUCCCCCAAGAGUCCACAUCGACGGGGAGGUUUGGCACCUCGAUGUCGGCUCGUCGCAUCCUGGGGCUGUAGUCGGUCCCAAGGGUUGGGCUGUUCGCCCAUUAAAGCGGCACGCGAGCUGGGUUCAGAACGUCGUGAGACAGUUCGGUCCCUAUCCGUCGCGGGCGCAGGAAAUUUGAGAGGAGCUGUCCUUAGUACGAGAGGACCGGGAUGGACACACCGCUGGUGUACCAGUUGUUCCGCCAGGAGCAUCGCUGGGUAGCUAUGUGUGGCAGGGAUAAACGCUGAAAGCAUCUAAGCGUGAAGCCCCCCUCAAGAUGAGAUUUCCCAUUUCUUCGGAAAGUAAGAUCCCUGAAAGAUGAUCAGGUAGAUAGGUUUGGAGUGGAAGUGUAGCGAUACAUGGAGCGGACAAAUACUAAUCGAUCGAGGACUUAACCAAAA